UACGUAGGGUCCGAGCGUUGUCCGGAAUUACUGGGCGUAAAGAGCUCGUAGGUGGUUUGUCGCGUUGUUCGUGAAAACUCACAGCUCAACUGUGGGCGUGCGGGCGAUACGGGCAGACUUGAGUACUGCAGGGGAGACUGGAAUUCCUGGUGUAGCGGUGAAAUGCGCAGAUAUCAGGAGGAACACCGGUGGCGAAGGCGGGUCUCUGGGCCGAUACUGACGUGAGGAGCGAAAAGCGUGGGGGAGCGA
rnacentral:rRNA from 1 species